ensembl:ncRNA ZK287.12 ncRNA
CCAUUGAAACAUGAAGAAGCCGUCGUUGGAGGCUGCUUCUGUCCAUGCUGGACUGGUGUUGUGCAUGUGCAUGGUGUGUUUGUGUGCUCCAUGCCCAGCAUGCUGUCUGUGUCCUCGUCUUCCUUCUCCUCUACUUCUCUUU